GACGAACGCUGGCGGCGUGCCUAAUACAUGCAAGUCGAGCGGACCUCUUCGGAGGUCAGCGGCGGACGGGUGAGUAACACGUGGGCAACCUGCCUGUAAGACUGGGAUAACACCGGGAAACCGGUGCUAAUACCGGAUAAUCCUUUUCCUCACACGAGGGGAAGCUGAAAGACGGUUUCGGCUUUCACUUACAGAUGGGCCCGCGGCGCAUUAGCUAGUUGGUGGGGUAACGGCCCACCAAGGCGACGAUGCGUAGCCGGCCUGAGAGGUUGAUCGGCCACACUGGGACUGAGACACGGCCCAGACUCCUACGGGAGGCAGCAGUAGGGAAUCUUCCGCAAUGGACGAAAGUCUGACGGAGCAACGCCGCGUGAGCGAAGAAGGCCUUCGGGUCGUAAAGCUCUGUUGUCAGGGAAGAACACGUACCGGAGUAACUGCCGGUACCUUGACGGUACCUGACCAGAAAGCCACGGCUAACUACGUGCCAGCAGCCGCAGUAAAAC
rnacentral:rRNA from 1 species